AUAGUCGGCGUGGUUGGUUGCCGAACCCACUGGGAACUUUGUUGUAGUUCUCACCCCACUAUUUCCACAGAGCCGGGACCGAGCGAGCCGGCAGAUGAUCGCGGUAAGGGCAUCGCGCCCUAGGUAGAGACCGCCCGAGAUGGAUUUCAUUUUGUAGUUGCACACCCUUUACUAUCAUCUUUUGUAUUUGAUGAUUUUAGUAUUACGAACUUGCUUUAAUGAAUGAUGUAAAGGAUAUUUACUUUAAAUGUCAAAAGUUAUAUUUUGGGAGAAAUGAGAUGUAAAAAAAAAAAGAAGAAGAAAUGAUGCAUGUAUGUGAUUUAAAUUAGUCAUAUUACUUAUAUAUUGAAUUGCUAAUUCUUUCACCUUGGCUAUUGCUUGCCCUCGUGCAAGCCAUUGUGU
rnacentral:lncRNA from 1 species